GGGGUCAGUAGGUUGGUCGUGCCACCGGUACUUACUGGUCUCACUGAUUCCUCCUUCCUGAAGAACCGUAAUGCCAUUAAUUUGGUGUUGCGGGGAAACAGGACUGUUACUUUGAAAAAAUGAGAGUGUUUAAAGCAAGCUAACGCUUGAAUACAUUAGCAUGGAAUAAUGAAAUAGGACGAUCGAUCCUAUUUUGUUGGUUUCUAGGAUUGACGUA
rnacentral:rRNA from 1 species